GACGAACGCUGGCGGCGUGCCUAAUACAUGCAAGUCGAACGCCGAAGGAGUAACUUCCUUCUCUGGCUGAGUGGCGAACGGGUGAGUAACGCGUAGGUAACCUGCCUGGCAUUGUCGGAUAACUUUUGGAAACGAUAGCUAAUACCGCAUAACAGUAGAUAUCGCAUGAUAACUACUUGAAAGUUGCAAUUGCAUCACUACAAGAUGGACCUGCGUUGUUUUAGCUAGUUGGGGAGGUAACGGCUCACCAAGGCGACGCUACAUAGCCGACCUGAGAGGGUGGUCGGCCACACUGGGACUGGGACACGGCCCAGACCUCUUCGGGAGGCAGCAGUAGGGAAUCUUUGGAAAUGGGCGGAAGUCUGACCGAACCAAGCCGGGUGAGUGAAGGAGGUUUUCGGAUCGGAAAGGUCUGUUGUAAGAGAAGAAAGAGCAUGAGAGUGGAAAGUUCACGCUGUGACGGUAUCUUAAGAGAAAGGGACGGCUAACUACGUG
rnacentral:rRNA from 1 species